AUACGUAGGGGGCGAGCGUUGUCCGGAAUGAUUGGGCGUAAAGGGCGCGUAGGCGGCCCGGUAAGUCUGGAGUGAAAGUCCUGUUUUUAAGAUGGGAAUUGCUUUGGAUACUGUCGGGCUUGAGUGCAGGAGAGGUAAGUGGAAUUCCCAGUGUAGCGGUGAAAUGCGUAGAGAUUGGGAGGAACACCAGUGGCGAAGGCGACUUACUGGACUGUAACUGACGCUGAGGCGCGAAAGCGUGGGGAGCAAACAGGAUUAGAUACCCUGGUAGUCCACGCUGUAAACGAUCAAUACUAGGUGUGCGGGGACUGACCCCCUGCGUGCCGCAGUUAACACAAUAAGUAUUGCACCUGGGGAGUACGAUCGCAAGGUUGAAACUCAAAGGAAUUGACGGGG
rnacentral:rRNA from 1 species